UACGUAGGGACCGAGCGUUGUCCGGAUUCAUUGGGCGUAAAGAGCUCGUAGGCGGCCACUCAAGUCGAAUGUGAAACCUCGAGGCUUAACCUCGAGCCUGCAUUCGAUACUGGGCGGCUAGAGUCUGGUAGGGGGAUCUGGAAUUCCUAGUGUAGCGGUGAAAUGCGUAGAGAUUAGGAAGAAUACCAGUGGCGAAGGCGACUUUCUGGACUGUAACUGACACUGAGGCUCGAAAAGCGUGGGGGAGCAAACAGG
rnacentral:rRNA from 1 species